CGGGGGGUGCGAGCGUUGUCCGGAAUCACUGGGCGUAACGGGCGCGUAGGUGGUUUGAUAAGGGUGUGGUGAAAGCCCGGGGCUCAACCCCGGGUCUGCCGUGCCGACUGUCAAACUUGAGGGCUGUAGAGGCAGACGGAAUUCCGGGUGUAGCGGUGGAAUGCGUAGAGAUCCGGAGGAAGACCGGUGGCGAAGGCGGUCUGCUGGGCAGUUUCUGACACUGAUGCGCGACAGCGUGGGGAGCAAACAGGAUUAGAUACCCUGGUAGUCCACGCCGUAAACGAUGGGUACUAGGUGCCUGGGGGAGCGACCCUCUGGGUGCCGGCGCUAACGCAGGAAGUACCCCGCCUGGGGAGUACGACCGCAAGGUUG
rnacentral:rRNA from 1 species